CCUACGGGGGGCUGCAGUGAGGAAUAUUGGUCAAUGGCCGAGAGGCUGAUCCAGCCAAGUCGCGUGAGGGAAGACGGCCCUACGGGUUGUAAACCUCUUUUGUCGGGGAGCAAAGCGAACCACGUGUGGUUCAUUGAGAGUACCCGAAGAAAAAGCAUCGGCUAACUCCGUGCCAGCAGCCGCGGUAAUACGGAGGAUGCGAGCGUUAUCCGGAUUUAUUGGGUUAAAAGGGUGCGCAGGCGGAGGUGCAAGUCCGCGGUCAAAUGGCGGGGCUCAGCCCCGUACUGCCGUUGAAACUGCAUCCCUUGAGUGCGCGAGAAGUAGGCGGAAUGCGUGGUGUAGCGGUGAAAUGCAUAGAUAUCACGCAGAACUCCGAUGGCGAAGGCAGCAUACCGGCGCGCAACUGACGCUCAUGCACGAAAGCGUGGGUAUCGAACAGGAUUAGAUACCCUUGUAGUC
rnacentral:rRNA from 1 species